rnacentral:rRNA from 1 species
UACAGAGGUCUCAAGCGUUAUUCGGAAUUAUUGGGCGUAAAGGGCGCGUAGGCGGCUUUGCAAGUGGCGGGUGAAAGCCCUCGGCUUAACCGAGGAACUGCCUGUCAGACUGUGAGGCUUGAGACCGGGAGAGGUGAGUGGAAUUCCCAGUGUAGCGGUGAAAUGCGUAGAUAUUGGGAGGAACACCAGUGGCGAAGGCGGCUCACUGGACCGGAACUGACGCUGAGGCGCGAAAGCGUGGGGAGCAAACAGG